rnacentral:lncRNA from 1 species
CGCUGUUGCUGUGGCAGUGUGGCUGCUGGAGUUUGCCUAUUUUCGACUUUUCGGGUUUCGCCUCGUGGUCAAUAAUGGCGUGGCCGGUCGUCUGUCUGACAAUGACUGCAGAAAAACCGCUGUCCUUAAUAAAGGUUUGAAGAAUCUCUUGCUUCUUUACUUCUAUGCAUGUCUCAUCUAAUGCAGAAUCACUUCAUAGCAAAGGUUUUAACUGAUAAAUUGUUGAUCAAGACUUUCGUCCAGUGCAUUCAUCCAUCCAGUACAAUAAGUUGCAUUCAAUCCACAGCUAACAAAAGUUUUCGCCAAGAAGAUUAUUAGUGGAUAAACUCUUCUCUUUAAUUCGCAUUUAACAGCGCCAUUGGGGCACCUUUGAUAAAUGAGUGAACUAUUACGUCAUACCAUCGACAACGAAAUCGUCCCCUGUUGGAAUGUAGGAUUGUCUCGACUGCGAACAACUCCAACUGGGAACAAGCUGUCUUUCCUCGUCAGCUGAUUGAUCAAAUUUAGUCAUCUUCAAUGUGAUUCCCUUGACAGUAAUUGUGAAGCAUGAGCGACAGCCGGGAACGGCAACAGUGUUCUUCAAAUGAUCUCCAGUUCAUCAGCUGCUGCCGAAUUAUCUUCGGAUCACGAGCUUAUUAUUCGCCCUUUCUGUUUGUUUGAUAAUUAUUUGUUUGGCCAGUUGCGUCGACUCCAACAAUUGCUGCCCAUGUCACCGCACUACUUCCGCCACUAGACAAGUGGGAAAAGGACUUAAAACGUUUCAUUCAUCGUUGAUAUCUCGCAGGCGUUAGUACUCCGGGAAAGAGCCGACAGCUAAAGUCUGCCCCCAAUUCUCUUAAAACGGAUAACGAAGUCCUUUUUUCCAAUAGGGAAUUGCGCCGGACCACUCCCGACCUGCUUGUGACUUACCUCUAAUCGAUAUUUUCGAUGUGAAAACGGAGCGACACAGGAAGAAGAAAUGAAGAGAAGGCAUUGACAUCGUGUUUCUACCUUGCCUGUGGUUCGAGGUAUUGAGUUCGACCCGGUGGUGCAGCACUUCUACUGGAUAGACUGGAGUUAACUAACAAUUCGUCGUGCGCUAGAUAACAGUAUCCAGGCUUCAGUCGUUAUGGCCAAUCCAACACUAGUUCUCUUUUGGAGUUGCUCUAGGUUAAAUGCGAUCAACGCUACCAGAAUCGAUAGUCAUAUUUCUGUUGGUAUCCUGGUUGGAGGUCCGUCUUCACCAACUUGCCGUCCCAAAUCGAAUGGUGCCGUAUACGACGGAAAUAAUCGCGACAAGAUAAGAGAAUCGCGACAAGAUAAGAGAAAUAGAUAUCGACCAACCUUCAGCGCCGACUAUCGACACAGAAGAGAAGAUGAUAUUUUGAGCUGACACCAAACAACCGCAGGAAGUUGACCCCUUCUAAAUUAGUCAAGCCUACAGCAUCAACAGUUCACGGACAGCACAAUUAUUUGUUGGAGAAAGAAGGCGGUGGAGAAAACGGCGUUCCAUUCCCAGGAGGUACGCAGAUAUUGGAAACGAGUGAUCGAAUACGAUUUCCUUUUCUCAGUUGUGUUGAAGAUGGCAAGCUAUAAAUCACAAAUAGAUCAUCCGAGUCCGAGCAUAUGGAAUAAGAAUUAUUCAGAUCACAAAGAUGAACUAUCAACCCAAAUCAGAAAAUGCAACUGACGGCCGGUAAAGUUUUGUUCGCGCUGGAAGAAUAACGGAAACAUCUCCAACUCUUCUACCGAUUUCCGAUGGAGUUCUGCUAUGUUACCCAUGUUAGUUCUAAGAAGGAAAAAUUUUAGAGUUGUGCAGCCUACUGUCCACUCAGUUCAAAAUCAUUCUACUCUACUGAAGGUGCCAUCAAAAUAAUACAGGAUUCAUCUCUCAUUCCAUCUUCUGGAGAAUCUAGGAUAACUGAUCGGUGGUUUAUUCAUGUAGAAGUUCACUUGUCUUUUCACUGAACCAAAUCGUCCAAUAUCGCAAAUCUGCAGAAGUGAGCAUGUGACAAACUCAUAUGUAAGUGAUCUGAUUAUCCUUAUGGCGACGUUUUGAAGUAGUAGGAUGAAGGUGGUUAGUUUUUUUCUACAUUUAAUCAACUUUUUGCUCUUCUAUCUAUGAUAACCAGUGGUUUUUGAAGUUUGUUAGGUUUGUUUUUUUUCUUCAAAAGGUUGGGUUAGAAUAUUUUUCUCAAGGUUGGUGCAUUUUUCGGGAUUGGAAUUUCCUUAUGGCGACGUUUUGAAGUAAUAGCCAAUGGAACGAAGGUGGUAAAUAUUUUCUACGUUUUAUCAAUAUUACGAUUACAAGUUGUUGAUUUUUCUUAAAAGGCAGGGUUAGAAUUUUGGUCAAAAGGUUGGGGCAUGGGUUGGGGUGGGGUUAGAAUUUUUGUCAAAAGGUGGGGUUAAAAUUCGUCCACCAGAGGGGUUUGGUGUUGCAGUCAGUGAGUCAUGUCAAGGCAUUCAGGUGCAGACUGUAGAACUGGGACGCCGCACGUCUGCGUUUUAGCAUGUCAGCAAACUUAAAAGUUUUGCAUCGUGAAGAUCAAAGUCCCACUCCCAGUGUAGACGUCUGACCAUGUGUCCUGAUCCUGAAAGUGCUGUCGUUGCUGUCCGUAUGCAGAAAUGUCGUCUCGUUCUAGAAAGUAGAAACUUGAAUACAAUGUGCCUCAUAUCUUGCCGAGUUGGUGUUGGAGAAGGGAUAUGCUUGCUACUGUGGGGUCUGAAAGCUUACAAUAUAUACUUGUCAACUCCAUGUGUUGUUGUGGAGUGCUCUACAAUUUCUGAAGACUUUCACUGCAUGUUGAGAUGUUUUGUUGCAUGGAGAAGUACUUUUACUUUGAAGAGGAAAUGUGCAAGGGCCAUGCAGCUUACUGUCCACUAUUUUGUUCAUAAUAAUUGUUAUCUACUGAAUUCCAAAGCUUAAACAAUCUUUUUCCCUAACUUUUGAAAGGUAGAUUAAUUCGAGCUGUUGAAUGAUGGUGUUUGCUGCUCAAUGCGAAGAUGGUGAAAGGAGUGCUCGACUCAGAAUAAGCUGCUAUUGUCUCUGGUGUUGGUGAAUCUACAUUCAAAAAACCGGUCUUUAACUUCUUUGGACAUGAGGUAACAUUGGCAGUUCCUUCAAUUUAUAUUUCGCCAUUCAAUUUAUCAUGCGACCUGCCUUCCCAAAAUGUCGUCUCUUGCUGUAUGUUGCAUAUUUCGUCAAAAGAUGAGUUAUUUUCUCGCCAUUCGUCUAAGCUGAACCGAUAGUGAACCAAUUUAAAGCAACAGGUGAUUUCCUUUUCUCCACAGUGUGGUCGCUGCUGUGCGAUGAAGACGGUCUUUGUGAGGGUCUACUAUGUUGCAAGACAAACUUUUUGAAAGGAGGGAAUCUGUUAAGAGAUUGAGGAUAUGGCAAAGGCUGAAUUUCAUUGCUGACAUGCAGGUGAUUUUGUUGCAGACAGCUGGUGAAAGCGAGGGCAAGUCAAGUUUAGCUGAAGCUUCUGGAAGUAGUCUACAUUGCUGGUGUCAUCCUGAAGAGGGGUAGUGUUACUUGAAAUGUAACAGCAACAAAGACAUCUUGAAAAGGACUUGGUGACAGUGUUAAGUGGCAAUCUGCUGCAUGCAUUUCAUGAGAAGAUGGUGUUAUCCAUAAGUGUUGCAGGGAGACUUGGAGCAUAGAUGCAAGAAAACCUCUAGAAAUGGAGUUGGUGGAAAUCUUAAGUGAUUUUGCUGUCUGGUUCCUGUUCAAGCUGUUUGUAUACUGUAUCUGCUGAAAUCUUCGAAAUAGCUGAUGCUGAUAUUAUCCUUCAAUUGGUUUUCCAGUGCAAUUUUGUUUGUCUACUACAAUAUUUUGUCUUCUUUGUUUUCAUCUGUGUAGUGUAUAAUUCGAACUAUUUGAUAUUUAGAUUUUCAAUGUGGUAUGUUGCAAUUAAUGUUGGUGAAAGUUCUUUGUGCGGUUGUCUUCGUUGUCUAAACUCUAAAAGCAAUUUUUCAAUUAUUUACUUCAUACCAGAAACCUAAACCUGAAAAUUACUUGUUUAAUUUUGUAAACUUAAUUGCUGUUUCAUCAAAUCAUGUAUAAAACUCGUUAAAUAUACAAUUAUUCGUUCAAAUUCGAAA